UACGUAGGGUGCAAGCGUUAAUCGGAAUUACUGGGCGUAAAGCGUGCGCAGGCGGUUGUGCAAGACAGAUGUGAAAUCCCCGGGCUCAACCUGGGAAUUGCAUUUGUGACUGCACGGCUAGAGUGUGCCAGAGGGGGGUAGAAUUCCACGUGUAGCAGUGAAAUGCGUAGAGAUGUGGAGGAAUACCGAUGGCGAAGGCAGCCCCCUGGGAUAACACUGACGCUCAUGCACGAAAGCGUGGGGAGCAAACAGG
rnacentral:rRNA from 1 species